AUUGAACGCUGGCGGCAGGCCUAACACAUGCAAGUCGAGCGGAUGACGGGAGCUUGCUCCUUGAUUCAGCGGCGGACGGGUGAGUAAUGCCUAGGAAUCUGCCUGGUAGUGGGGGGCAACGUUUCGAAAGGAACGCUAAUACCGCAUACGUCCUACGGGAGAAAGCAGGGGACCUUCGGGCCUUGCGCUAUCAGAUGAGCCUAGGUCGGAUUAGCUUGUUGGUGAGGUAAUGGCUCACCAAGGCGACGAUCCGUAACUGGUCUGAGAGGAUAAUAAUUCACACUGGAACUGAGACACGGUCCAGACUCCUACGGGAGGCAGCAGUGGGGAAUAUUGGACAAUGGGCGAAAGCCUGAUCCAGCCAUGCCGCGUGUGUGAAGAAGGUCUUCGGAUUGUAAAGCACUUUAAGUUGGGAGGAAGGGUUGUAGAUUAAUACUCUGCAAUUUUGACGUUACCGACAGAAUAAGCACCGGCUAACUCUGUGCCAGCAGCCGCCGCCGUAA
rnacentral:rRNA from 1 species